GAUGAACGCUGGCGGCGUGCCUAAUACAUGCAAGUCGAGCGAAUGGAUUAAGAGCUUGCUCUUAUGAAGUUAGCGGCGGACGGGUGAGUAACACGUGGGUAACCUGCCCAUAAGACUGGGAUAACUCCGGGAAACCGGGGCUAAUACCGGAUAACAUUUUGAACCGCAUGGUUCGAAAUUGAAAGGCGGCUUCGGCGGUCACUUAUGGAUGGACCCGGGUCGCAUUAGCUAGUUGGUGAGGUAACGGCUCAACAAGGCAACGAUGCGUAGCCGACCGGAGAGGGUGAUCGGCCACACUGGGACUGAGACACGGCCCAGACUCCUACGGGAGGCAGCAGUAGGGAAUCUUCCGCAAUGGACGAAAGUCUGACGGAGCAACGCCGCGUGAGUGAUGAAGGCUUUCGGGUCGUAAAACUCUGUUGUUAGGGAAGAACAAGUGCUAGUUGAAUAAGCUGGCACCUUGACGGUACCUAACCAGAAAGCCACGGCUAACUACGUGCCAGCCGCCGCAGUAA
rnacentral:rRNA from 1 species